UAGUCCACGCCGUAAACGAUGGACACUAGUUGUUGGGUUUCGGCUCAGUGACUAAGCGAAAGUGAUAAGUGUCCCACCUGGGGAGUACGGUCGCAAGAUUGAAACUCAAAGGAAUUGACGGGGGCCCGCACAAGCGGUGGAGCAUGUGGUUUAAUUCGAUGAUACGCGAGGAACCUUACCAGGGCUUAAAUGUAGAUUGACAGGACUAGAGAUAGUUUUUCUCGGACAAUUUACAAGGUGCUGCAUGGUUGUCGUCAGCUCGUGCCGUGAGGUGUCAGGUUAAGUCCUAUAACGAGCGCAACCCCUAUUUUUAGUUGCUAACAGGUUAAGCUGAGGACUCUAGAGAGACUGCCGGUGCAAACCGCGAGGAAGGUGGGGAUGACGUCAAAUCAUCACGGGCCCUUAGCCUGGGGCUACACACGUGCUACAAUGGUAAUGACAGAGGGGCAGGCUACCUGGGUGACAGGGAUGCGAAUCUUU
rnacentral:rRNA from 1 species